rnacentral:rRNA from 1 species
GAUGAACGCUGGCGGCGUGCUUAACACAUGCAAGUCGAACGAUGAAGCUGGAGCUUGCUCUGGUGGAUUAGUGGCGAACGGGUGAGUAACACGUGAGCAACCUGCCCCUGACUCUGGGAUAACAGCCGGAAACGGCUGCUAAUACCGGAUAUGCACCAUGAACGCAUGCUCUGUGGUGGGAAAGAUUUUUCGGUUGGGGAUGGGCUCGCGGCCUAUCAGCUUGUUGGUGAGGUAAUGGCUCACCAAGGCGUCGACGGGUAGCCGGCCUGAGAGGGUGACCGGCCACACUGGGACUGAGACACGGCCCAGACUCCUACGGGAGGUAGCAGUGGGGAAUAUUGCACAAUGGGCGAAAGCCUGAUGCAGCAACGCCGCGUGAGGGAUGACGGCCUUCGGGUUGUAAACCCCUUUUAGCAGGGAAGAAGCGAGAGUGACGGUACCUGCAGAAAAAGCGCCGGCUAACUACGUGCCAGCAGCCGCAGUAA